rnacentral:lncRNA from 1 species
AUGAAGACAGAGGUCUCCAGCCAGGUGACAGGGAAGCAGGCAGAGCAGAGGAAGAGGGCCAGGAGCUCCUCUACGGGUCUGCGUUGGAGGCUUUCAUGUAGACUUACCUGCCAGACUGGGAGCUCCCUGAAGACCAGGGGCUGUGCCAUCAGGCUGGGAAUUCAAUCAAUUCUUGUCAGAGCUAAGAUGGUGAGGGGAUUUGGAAGCAGGGGUGUGAGGACUACAGCUGUGUGCUGGUCACUGGAGAAGACAGGGUGGAGUUGGACAGGACGGAUGCCCCCAAAUCCACUCCUUCUCAGUGUUGCCCCCAAGAAGAAGGCUAGAAUUAAGGGGAGAUGACACAGGAGACUGGACUUUGGCUCCAGAAGAGAAUGAACUCUCUAAGAGCAUGGAUGGGCAAGAGGUAUGAAAGCCACCCCACUCCCCCCCAUGAAAGGCCAAACAUCUGAGGAGGGGUCUGAAGCUCCAGGUGGCAGCUGGACCCAGUACCUUUAAGGUCCUCUCCAAAUCCAAGGGUCAGCCAGUGACAGUGGAUAUCCUAGUCUCAUCCACCCCCACACCUAGGGCAGCUCCUCCUAAUAACUCCAAGGAUGGGUCAGAGGCAAUGGACAGGAGGACACAGGGACCCGGCCCCAGCCAACCAGGCCACUGAAUCAGUCAGGCAAAGAGAGACUGCAGGGAAGCAUGAACACCGUGGUGGCUGCUGCAGGGCUGGAAGAUGGCCCUUGGUCUGCAGCUGCACAGCCAAAUAAAUAGGAAAAUGAACUUGCCUUGCCAGCCAGGAUAGUACACCAUCCUCACUCCUGCAGAGGAGUGAUACCUCCAGUCACCUAGCACGCUGCAGGGCACCUGCUCGUUCUUCACAAGCGAACCUGGGCCAGAGCCAGGGAGUCACUUGCCCAAAAGUCCCAGGCUACUGGCUCCGACUUGCAAGGGGCGGGGGCAGGGCACAGCCCUGGGGCUCCUUACUCACAAGCGGGUGCUCUGUCUCCCACUCUUGGCUGCCCCCACAGUGCCAUAUGCUCCUGCAGCAGCUGGGAUUCCUUUUGAAAAAUAUGUUCAUCUCAGGCAAGUCCCAAAGUGGACAGAGAUGAUAUAUAUGUUCUUUGCUGGCCCAGGAAGAGCAGGUAGGGGGAGCUCCUGACAUUUCUGGGAUUCCAAGGGAAGGAAACAUGUUACACUGUCUCAUUUCCUCCCCCAGCCCUGUUCUCUCCCAAGCAGGUGGGAAGCAUGGAAAAUUUUUUGUGUCUCUCACUUCCUUCCUAGAGCCCCUUCACAUCUAGUUCCUCCAGGCUGCUGAUGGCUGAUAAACUCCUCCACUAGGAGAUAAUAGAGAUUCAAAGUGUUGCCCCUCCCGGGAGAAUUUACAUAUUAAGUCAGGCUCUGCUUGAGGAGAAGGCUUAAUCUAGGGUCCAGAAGCUGGACAUCACGGACUUUCAGGAUGACAGGGAGAGAUGGGGAGUGGGAAUCAAAGAUGCUUUCUGGGGGGUCCUUAGCUCCUCCCUGAAUGGGGCAAGAAGGCUGAGGUGGAGGUGGGGGCAUUAUCUGGGAGGGGAGGCACAUAACAAGGAGCCUGGACACAUCACUGAGGGUUGGGGGCUGCCCUCUCCACCGGGCACUGAUGGCAGGGCUGUCCCCAGCCAGGUAUAUCCUGCAGAGAUCAAUCACCUCUCCCUAUUUGUUGCUAAAUCCCAGAGAACAGAAACUAAGAUGUUCAACACUAAUCCACACCUGAACCAACCAACCACCACGACCCACUACGGACCAUCCUCCUUCACCCCUCCGCAAAACACACCCUCAUCUCACUGACUUGGGCCCCCUCUUGAAGCUCAUUAAUCAUACACGGCAUGCCGGAGGCUGGAUGCAGCGACUUCUGGGGGUCCCCGCUGGAGGUUUCUAGCUCCAUCAAUCCCAGGGCAGUGGAACUGGGACUCCUAGGGAUACUGGCCAAAGGGAGCUUGUUCAGGGGCACCAGAGCAGAGCCGGAGCAGGGCCCGCGGCCCCUGAUCCCUCCCCCACCCCUCCUCCCAGACCCAGGCCAAUUUCCCCUGAAGUGUGCUCACGCUGCGCCCUUCGAGCCUCAGCGCCAAUUGACUGGAUUUCAAUCAGAAAUCCAUCUCCCUUAAGGACCGCUUUGGAUAAAAGCAGAAGUAACCUGCAAUCUAGAUGCUGAUGCCAAGUCAUAAUGGGGGAGCCGGAGAGAGGCCAGCUGCCCAACUCCGGUCCCCAGCCCCCAGCGAGGAUGGAGCCAGGCUUCCGCUGCGGCCGACUCCGCUUCCACGGACCUAGAGAAAGGGAGUAGCUCCGUCUCCCUCCAUCUCUGCCACCCGCCGAGGCGCGCCGAGCGGCCGGG